rnacentral:rRNA from 1 species
GGAGUUCUGAGUAAGGGCGUGCGGUGGAUGCCUUGACUCUAAAGGGCGAUGAAGGACGCGGCUUAGCUGCGAUACGCUUCGGGGAGGUGCUAUGCAACCUUUGAUCCGGAGAUUUCCGAAUGGGGAAACCCUAUCAGGUGAACCCUGAUAAUUCUCUCCUUAAACGAGAGAGAAAGCUGACCCCGGGAAGUGAAACAUCUCAGUACCGGGAGGAACAGAAAACAAUAGUUAUUCCCUUAGUAGCGGCGAGCGAAACGGGAGAAGCCCAAACUCAGCCACUUACUCGUGCCUCACUUUUGUGAAGCACGAGGAAUUUCGAAGCAUGAAUAUCGAAGCUCGAAACAAAUUCAAAGCACGAAACUUAAAAUUCUAAACGGAUUCAGUUUUAAUUUUUUGGUUUGUGAUUUUGAGUCCAUUUGUUUCGGAUUUCGGAUUUAGAAUUUCGGAUUUUCUUAGGAGUGCCUCGCAGAAGCGAGGUACGAGUAAGGAGUUGGGGGUUGUAAGGCUAUGGCGUGUAUACGAAAGUGUACGUAGAGUAAAAAAUUGCCGAGUUAGAGGAAUCCUCUGGAAAGAGGAGCCCCAGUGGGUAAUAGCCCCGUACUCGAAAACGAAGCAACUCUAUGGCUGUAGUUCUUGAGUAACUCGAGACAUGAAUAGCUUGAGUGAAUCCGCCAGUACUAACUGGUAAGGCUAAAUACUUUUAGAGAUCGAUAGUGAACAAGUACCGUGAGGGAAAGGUGAAAAGAACCCCGGUGAGGGGAGUGAAAUAGACCUGAAACCGCAUGUCUACAAGGAGUCAGCGCGGUGCUUCGCACCGAAUGUCAAAUGUAAAAUUUUUAAUUUUUAAAUAAUUUCUAAUUUCUUAAUUAUAGAAUUUAGAUUUAUUUUGAAAUUUGGAAUUGAAAAUUGGAAAUUCGGCGCGGAGCGCCGCCAUGGCGUGCCUAUUGAAGAAUGAGCCAACGAGUUGAUGCAAACUGCAGGCUAAGUCCUUUCGGAUGGAGCCACAGCGAAAGCGAGUGUUAAUAGCGCGUCUAUUGUAGUUUGUAUCAGACCCGAAGCAACGUGAGCUACCCAUGAGCAGGCUGAACCUUCUCGAAAGAGAAGGGGAGGGCCGAACCCGUAGAUUGUUCAACAUCUUGGGAUGACUUGUGGGUUGGAGUGAAAAGCUUAUCGAACGUUGUAAUAGCUGGUUCUCUCCGAAA